rnacentral:rRNA from 1 species
UACGUAGGGGGCGAGCGUUGUCCGGAGUUACUGGGCGUAAAGCGCACGCAGGCGGUUCGCCAAGUUUGGAGUGACAGUUGUCGGCUCAACCGACAAAGGACUUCAAAAACUGGUGAACUUGAGGACGAGAGAGGAGCAUGGAACUCCAGGUGUAGUAGUGAAAUGCGUAGAUAUCUGGAAGAACACCAAUGGCGAAGGCAAUGUUCUGGCUCGUUUCUGACGCUCAGGUGCGAAAGCCAGGGGAGCGAACGGG